GACGAACGCUGGCGGCGUGCUUAACACAUGCAAGUCGAGCGAUGAAGCUUCCUUCGGGAAGUGGAUUAGCGGCGGACGGGUGAGUAACACGUGGGUAACCUGCCUCAAAGUGGGGGAUAGCCUUCCGAAAGGAAGAUUAAUACCGCAUAAUAUGAGAGAAUCGCAUGAUUUUCUUAUCAAAGAUUUAUUGCUUUGAGAUGGACCCGCGGCGCAUUAGCUAGUUGGUAAGGUAACGGCUUACCAAGGCAACGAUGCGUAGCCGACCUGAGAGGGUGAUCGGCCACAUUGGAACUGAGACACGGUCCAGACUCCUACGGGAGGCAGCAGUGGGGAAUAUUGCGCAAUGGGGGAAACCCUGACGCAGCAACGCCGCGUGGGUGAUGAAGGUCUUCGGAUUGUAAAGCCCUGUUUUCUGGGACGAUAAUGACGGUACCAGAGGAGGAAGCCACGGCUAACUACGUGC
rnacentral:rRNA from 5 species